UAACACCUGUUUGUAUGUAUACAUUUAUGAAAAACUAUUCAAUAAAAGAAUUGAAGAGAUGUUAACGUUAACAUUAGCCGAUUCGUUCGUAGAAGGAUUAACUUGACAUGUAUGUCAUGGGGUCUUGCGUGAGAGUUUUGGUUUGGAAAGACUCAAGUUCAAGUCUUAACAAACAUCAGGUUUUAUCAUUAAUUCAUUGUUUGAUGAGUUUUGUUUCCCAAAUUAUCAUACUAAUGGGCUUUGACUCCGUAUGACUAAGUUGAGCCCGCUGGCAGUAGACUUUAGCCAUCAAAUUAUACUAAUGGAGUUCGAAUUAUAAAGUGUUUAGUUAUCCGUUAAAAAGGAAAACAACAUAAACAUUAGACGAGUAAAAUUAGAGAUGAUUUUAUCGUGGAGAGAGCUUAACAAACUUCCUGUUUGUCACCUAACUGGAUAAUAAAACUAUUCUCUCUCUCAUCAAAUCUCACAAUCCCCAAAAACCCAAACACUCCAAUAAUAAAUAUAAAUAAAACAAAAAAAAUAAAUAAAUACGAGUAAUUAAAUGCUCCAAUUAUACUUCGCCGUGGCAUUCUCGGCGGUGCCGUUAACGUUAUACGUACCGCCGAUCAGAAGCUUAAGUCUGUUUGUCGGAUCAUUUCAAGAGCUUCUCCGUCAUAUCUCCGUUUACACUCUCCGUCUAUGUCCUCUCUUACGUCUCGCCUUUUCUAGAAUCUUCUCUCCUCUUUCUAACAGGUACGGAGUACAUUAAAUAUUUACUUGAUGAAGCAGAAAGCCAAUCCCGUGAACCUAAAAUUUGAAGGUUGAUUAUCUUAAUUUGGAUAAAUAAACUCUUGAUCUUAAAACCGUGAAAUGUCCAGUUAUCUUUGAUGAGACCAAGUUAGGAAUCAGAUGAAAAUAUUACUAAUGUUGCUACAGAUAUUAUGUUUGAUGUAUAUAACAUUUUUAAAGUAAUCUACUGAUCUCUUAGACUUUUCCCA